UACGUAGGGGGCAAGCGUUGUCCGGAAUCAUUGGGCGUAAAGCGCGUGUAGGCGGCUCGAUAAGUCCGCUCUGAAAGUCGGGGCUCAACCCCGGGGAGGCGGGUGGAUACUGUCGAGCUAGAGUCCGGAAGGGGCGAGUGGAAUUCCUGGUGUAGCGGUGAAAUGCGCAGAUAUCAGGAGGAACACCGAUGGCGAAGGCAGCUCGCUGGGACGGUACUGACGCUGAGACGCGAAAGCGUGGGGAGCAAACAGG
rnacentral:rRNA from 1 species